CUACGGGCGGCUCCAGUGGGGAAUUUUGGACAAUGGGCGCAAGCCUGAUCCAGCCAUUCCGCGUGAGUGAAGAAGGCCUUCGGGUUGUAAAGCUCUUUCGCAAGGGAAGAAAACUUACUUUCUAAUAAAGAGUGAGGUUGACGGUACCUUGAUAAGAAGCACCGGCUAACUACGUGCCAGCAGCCGCGGUAAUACGUAGGGUGCGAGCGUUAAUCGGAAUUACUGGGCGUAAAGCGUGCGCAGGCGGUUUUGUAAGUCAGAUGUGAAAUCCCCGAGCUCAACUUGGGAACUGCGUUUGAAACUACAAGACUAGAAUAUGUCAGAGGGGGGUAGAAUUCCACGUGUAGCAGUGAAAUGCGUAGAGAUGUGGAGGAAUACCAAUGGCGAAGGCAGCCCCCUGGGAUAAUAUUGACGCUCAUGCACGAAAGCGUGGGGAGCAAACAGGAUUAGAUACUCCAGUAGUC
rnacentral:rRNA from 1 species